rnacentral:rRNA from 1 species
UCGAACGGAAAGGCCCUGCUUUUGUGGGGUGCUCGAGUGGCGAACGGGUGAGUAACACGUGAGUAACCUGCCCUUGACUUUGGGAUAACUUCAGGAAACUGGGGCUAAUACCGGAUAGGAGCUCCUGCUGCAUGGUGGGGGUUGGAAAGUUUCGGCGGUUGGGGAUGGACUCGCGGCUUAUCAGCUUGUUGGUGGGGUAGUGGCUUACCAAGGCUUUGACGGGUAGCCGGCCUGAGAGGGUGACCGGCCACAUUGGGACUGAGAUACGGCCCAGACUCCUACGGGAGGCAGCAGUGGGGAAUAUUGCACAAUGGGCGGAAGCCUGAUGCAGCAACGCCGCGUGCGGGAUGACGGCCUUCGGGUUGUAAACCGCUUUCGCCUGUGACGAAGCGUGAGUGACGGUAAUGGGUAAAGAAGCACCGGCUAACUACGUGCCAGCAGCCGCGGUGAUACGUAGGGUGCGAGCGUUGUCCGGAUUUAUUGGGCGUAAAGGGCUCGUAGGUGGUUGAUCGCGUCGGAAGUGUAAUCUUGGGGCUUAACCCUGAGCGUGCUUUCGAUACGGGUUGACUUGAGGAAGGUAGGGGAGAAUGGAAUUCCUGGUGGAGCGGUGGAAUGCGCAGAUAUCAGGAGGAACACCAGUGGCGAAGGCGGUUCUCUGGGCCUUUCCUGACGCUGAGGAGCGAAAGCGUGGGGAGCGAACAGGCUUAGAUACCCUGGUAGUCCACGCUGUAAACGGUGGGUACUAGGUGUGGGGUCCAUUCCACGGGUUCCGUGCCGUAGCUAACGCUUUAAGUACCCCGCCUGGGGAGUACGGCCGCAAGGCUAAAACUCAAAGGAAUUGACGGGGCCCCGCACAAGCGGCGGAGCAUGCGGAUUAAUUCGAUGCAACGCGUAGAACCUUACCUGGGUUUGACAUGGAUCGGGAGUGCUCAGAGAUGGGUGUGCCUCUUUUGGGGUCGGUUCACAGGUGGUGCAUGGCUGUCGUCAGCUCGUGUCGUGAGAUGUUGGGUUAAGUCCCGCAACGAGCGCAACCCUUGUUCACUGUUGCCAGCACGUUAUGGUGGGGACUCAGUGGAGACCGCCGGGGUCAACUCGGAGGAAGGUGGGGAUGACGUCAAGUCAUCAUGCCCCUUAUGUCCAGGGCUUCACGCAUGCUACAAUGGCUGGUACAGAGAGUGGCGAGCCUGUGAGGGUGAGCGAAUCUCGGAAAGCCGGUCUCAGUUCGGAUUGGGGUCUGCAACUCGACCUCAUGAAGUCGGAGUCGCUAGUAAUCGCAGAUCAGCAACGCUGCGGUGAAUACGUUCCCGGGGCUUGUACACACCGCCCGUCAAGUCAUGAAAGUUGGUAACACCCGAAGCCGGUGGCCUAACCGUUGUGGGGGAGCCGUCGAAGGUGGGACUGGUGAUUAGGACUAAG